rnacentral:lncRNA from 1 species
AUGCAAAUUCUCUGUUCGCUGACUCUUGGCCAGUACAAAGGGCCGCGCUCCUGCCCUCUACGGGCACGGGCAAUUCCUAAGUGUGGAGUGCGGGUGCAUCUUAAGGGCCGCAUCUUCUGGGACUUCCAAAGAAAAGAUCCCUCUGGAGUUCAAAGUCGGUUCUUGCGAUAUUUCCAAAAAAGAUGGGCGAACGCGACACGGAUAGGUGUAGGCUUCAGAUGCCUGCAGCAGCUGGGGCCCGAACUUGGCCGCGGCCUCCCUGCCGGCUCCCGGGCAGAGGUGGGAGGGGCCCCCGCCCCUCACCAAGGUGCCGCAACCAGGGCCGCCGCCCGCCCAGUCCAGCCUGCGCCACCGCUGCCGCGCCCCGGGGCGCGCUCGGAUUUCUCCAGCCAUCUUGCCCCAUUUCCCUUUCUCCGCGGCCCCGCGCCGGCAGCGCUCCCGCCGCCCCCUCCGCCCGGCCCGCCUUCCGGCCGGGCCCCCUCUCAGCCUCAGCGCACCUGCCGGGAGGCGAGAGCCGGCGCCGCCCGCCUCCCCCGGCGGGCCCUCAACAAAGGCGGCGGCGGCGGCAGCGCAGCCUCGGCGCCCCCGCCCCCGCCGCGGCCCAGCCGCCCGGGACCCGGGGGAGGGGCCGCGCCGCCACCGCCCCCGCCCGCGCGCACUCACCGCCGGGCCCAGCGGCCGGGGCGCGGGGUGGGGACCCGAGGGCUCCGGCCUGGCUGUCACAGCGCCAUCCUUUCCGCCUCUCCGGCCUCCCGUGCGCGCGGCCCCUCGGGAUGGAGCGGGGAGGACACGUGGUGGGAGGAGGGAGGGUCCGGCCCGGAGCUGAGGGUGUUGGGAGGCGAGGGGAGGAGCGCGGCUGAUGUCAGCAGGCCUCGGCGGCGCCGGGGGACGGCGCCCGCGCGAGCUCCGCGGCCCUCCUCUCGGCGCGGCUUCCGGCCGGUCCGCGCACCUCCCGGGCAGUCCCUGGCUGGCCUGGACAGCCGUGCCCUCGGCCUUCUCCUGCCCCGCCCGCUGCAGGCCGCUUCCAGUGCCGCGUGUGACCUCGGCGUGGACGAGGCAGGAAAAGCCCGGACUGAUUUUAACCGAGCGUAG